GCUGAUUUUGGGGUCUUGCACCGUAAUGAGGCUAGUGGGGCCCUGACUGGAUUGACUCGUGUGAGAAGAUUUCAGCAGGAUGAUGCUCAUAUCUUCUGUAGGGAGUCACAGAUAAAAGAUGAAGUCAGGGGAGUCCUAGAGUUCAUCCAAUAUGCUUAUGACAUUUUUGGGUUCACAUUUGAGCUGAAGCUAUCAACGAGGCCAGAGAAAUACCUUGGAGAUUUGGAAACAUGGGA